GUUCAAGCCCAAAACCACUCAAAGCAUUUGACGUUUGCAGGAUUUUCAGCGAAGGAGCGCCACAUGACCAGACUCCUGAGAGGCUGAUCCACACAACUUCAGAACAUCUAGAAACCCUGCAUUUAAUCUGAUCCGAAAGCCAUAUAUUACCGUACUCCACACCUUCUACGCAUGGAGAGAACAGAGUAAGACGUGUCUGCAGUAUUGGACUACAAGGGGUUUGGUGUAUAGCGUAACCCUGAAGACACAUACCUAUGUGCAGGAGCUGUGUACUCGAAACUAUUUAAUCUUGAAUAUGAAUAAUAUUCAUGGGCAAGCUGCCACCCUCUUCUCCCGAUGAUGAUGAAGCCCCUAAUUCACCCGACUCCCAAGUGCGAUCAGC